rnacentral:rRNA from 1 species
UAGAUACCCCACUAUACCUCGCCGUAAACUUUAACUUACACCCUUAAUUCGCCAGGGAACUACGAGCAAAGCUUAAAACCCAAAGGACUUGACGGUGCCCCAUAUCCCCCUAGAGGAGCCUGUCCUAUAACCGAUGAUCCUCGUUUAACCUCACCACUUCUAGCUAAUCAGCUUGUAUACUUCCGUCGCCAGCUUACCACGUGAGCGAAACUCAGUUAGCUCAACUGGCUUACUUGCUUACCAACACCGCCAAUACGUCAGGUCGAAGUGCAGCAGAUGGAGUGGAAAGAGAUUGGCUACACUUUUUAAAUUAAAAAACAACGAAAGGCAGAUAAUUGAAACUCUGCCAGAAGGUGGAUUUAGUAGUAAAAAGAAUUCAUUAUAUUCCUUUUAAAUAGGCACUGGAGCGUGUACACACCGCCCGUCACCCUCUUCGACAAAUCACUACAGUAUCUAACAAUCUAUAUACCACCAGAGAAGAGGUAAGUCGUAACAUGGUAAGUAUACCGGAAGGUGUACUUGGAAACAAAAUAGUAGCUUAAACAAAGCAUCUUGCUUACACCAAGAAUAUGUUCAUAAUAGAACCAUUUUGAAUUAGCCAAAAACCUAGCCCAAAUUUACACAUUUUACUAACUUUAUUAAACUAAAAUAUUCUACUCAAUCUAGUAAAGAUGAUUAAAAAAUUUAUUUGAGCUAUAAAAACGUACCGCAAGGA